AGCGAACGCUGGCGGCAGGCUUAACACAUGCGAGUCGAACGGGCAUCUUCGGAUGUCAGUGGCAGACGGGUGAGUAACACGUGGGAACGUACCCUUCGGUUCGGAAUAACUCAGGGAAACUUGAGCUAAUACCGGAUACGCCCUUUUGGGGAAAGGUUUACUGCCGAAGGAUCGGCCCGCGUCUGAUUAGCUUGUUGGUGGGGUAACGGCCUACCAAGGCGACCAUCAGUAGCUGGUCUGAGAGGAUGAUCAGCCACACUGGGACUGAGACACGGCCCAGACUCCUACGGGAGGCAGCAGUGGGGAAUAUUGGACAAUGGGCGCAAGCCUGAUCCAGCCAGGCCGCGUGAGUGAUGAAGGCCUUAGGGUUGUAAAGCUCUUUUGUCCGGGACGAUAAUGACGGUACCGGAAGAAUAAGCCCCGGCUAACUUCGU
rnacentral:rRNA from 1 species